rnacentral:rRNA from 1 species
UAAUGACUCUCGGCAACGGAUAUCUCGGCUCUUGCAUCGAUGAAGAACGUAGCGAAAUGCGAUACUUGGUGUGAAUUGCAGAAUCCCGUGAACCAUCGAGUCUUUGAACGCAAGUUGCGCCCGAGGCCAUUUAGGUUGAGGGCACGUCUGCCUGGGCGUCACAC